UGUGCGCGGCGGUCUGUUGGUUUUUGGAGUCGCCGUGACCAGACGUGUGUCGCGAGGCAGGGAACACGGCUUUUCGACUCUGCACCGGCCAGUCCUCGCCGGGGCCUGCUGAGAUGGUGCCUUGCCUUACCCAGAGGCGUCUUCAGCGGCAAGAUAUUCGCAAUCUACACUAAGCCAUUUCAACUUGGCAUCAGACGCGCUGUCCAGUGGCCAUCGCUCGCCCCGGUCACUUCACAUUGCCACCAGAGAGAGACUGAACAAACAAGAGAAAUAAAAAUGAAAACAGGCCGGCGCGGGGUCCUGCCAGGCAUGGAGCCCUGGGUGGAUGCCCGGCUUGCCCUGCCCUGGAGCCCCCCCCCCCCCCCCCCACUUAUCUAUAAGCAUGGGUUGGUUUAUUGAGAAAACAUUACAUAAAGAAAGUAUAACAGCUUAACAAAAUUCAAGGAAACGUGUUCUUUAAAUAGACUUUCAUGUCAAAUUUAAGAAAAUAAAUGGUCAAAAAUCUUCGAAAACUAACAAACUGAUAAAAUAUUUUAUUGUUUAUUCCUAUUGUAUGCCAAGUUACUCGUAUUUUGGGGUGCAAACCCUCGCUCCUCGGGGAAAAAUGAGAACUCCACACUUUGACA